rnacentral:rRNA from 1 species
AGUGAACGCUGGCGGUAGGCCUAACACAUGCAAGUGGAACGGCAGCACAGUAAGAGCUUGCUCUUACGGGUGGCGAGUGGCGGACGGGUGAGGAAUACAUCGGAAUCUACUUUUUCGUGGGGGAUAACGUAGGGAAACUUACGCUAAUACCGCAUACGACCUACGGGUGAAAGCAGGGGAUCUUCGGACCUUGCGCGAUUGAAUGAGCCGAUGUCGGAUUAGCUAGUUGGCGGGGUAAAGGCCCACCAAGGCGACGAUCCGUAGCUGGUCUGAGAGGAUGAUCAGCCACACUGGAACUGAGACACGGUCCAGACUCCUACGGGAGGCAGCAGUGGGGAAUAUUGGACAAUGGGCGCAGGCCUGAUCCAGCCAUACCGCGUGGGUGAAGAAGGCCUUCGGGUUGUAAAGCCCUUUUGUUGGGAAAGAAAAGCAGCAGGUUAAUACCCCGCUGUUCUGACGGUACCCAAAGAAUAAGCACCGGCUAACUUCGUG